AGGCAAGACGUGCGUGGCUGCAU
rnacentral:miRNA from 1 species